rnacentral:miRNA from 1 species
UACAUGUAUAGUAUUAUUUGCCU